CCGGCGAUGUCCGAAUGGGGAAACCCAGUGCAAUUCGUUGCACUAUCGUUAACUGAAUACAUAGGUUAACGAGGCGAACCGGGGGAACUGAAACAUCUAAGUACCCCGAGGAAAAGAAAUCAACCGAGAUUCCCCCAGUAGCGGCGAGCGAACGGGGAGCAGCCCAGAGUCUGAAUCAGCUUGUGUGUUAGUGGAACGGUCUGGAAAGUCCGACGGUACAGGGUGAUAGUCCCGUACACCAAAAUGCACAGGUUGUGAACUCGAAGAGUAGGGCGGGACACGUGGUAUCCUGUCUGAAUAUGGGGGGACCAUCCUCCAAGGCUAAAUACUCCUGACUGACCGAUAGUGAACCAGUACCGUGAGGGAAAGGCGAAAAGAACCCCGGCGAGGGGAGUGAAAAAGAACCUGAAACCGUGUACGUACAAGCAGUGGGAGCACCUUCGGGUGUGACUGCGUACCUUUUGUAUAAUGGGUCAGCGACUUAUAUUCUGUAGCAAGGUUAACCGUAUAGGGGAGCCGCAGGGAAACCGAGUCUUAACUGGGCGUUAAGUUGCAGGGUAUAGACCCGAAACCCGGUGAUCUAGCCAUGGGCAGGUUGAAGGUUGGGUAACACUAACUGGAGGACCGAACCGACUAAUGUUGAAAAAUUAGCGGAUGACUUGUGGCUGGGGGUGAAAGGCCAAUCAAACCGGGAGAUAGCUGGUUCUCCCCGAAAGCUAUUUAGGUAGCGCCUCGUGAACUCAUCUUCGGGGGUAGAGCACUGUUUCGGCUAGGGGGUCAUCCCGACUUACCAACCCGAUGCAAACUACGAAUACCGAAGAAUGUUAUCACGGGAGACACACGGCGGGUGCUAACGUCCGUCGUGAAGAGGGAAACAACCCAGACCGCCAGCUAAGGUCCCAAAGUCAUGGUUAAGUGGGAAACGAUGUGGGAAGGCACAGACAGCCAGGAUGUUGGCUUAGAAGCAGCCAUCAUUUAAAGAAAGCGUAAUAGCUCACUGGUCGAGUCGGCCUGCGCGGAAGAUGUAACGGGGCUAAACCAUGCACCGAAGCUGCGGCAGCGACACUAUGUGUUGUUGGGUAGGGGAGCGUUCUGUAAGCCUGCGAAGGUGUGCUGUGAGGCAUGCUGGAGGUAUCAGAAGUGCGAAUGCUGACAUAAGUAACGAUAAAGCGGGUGAAAAGCCCGCUCGCCGGAAGACCAAGGGUUCCUGUCCAACGUUAAUCGGGGCAGGGUGAGUCGACCCCUAAGGCGAGGCCGAAAGGCGUAGUCGAUGGGAAACAGGUUAAUAUUCCUGUACUUGGUGUUACUGCGAAGGGGGGACGGAGAAGGCUAUGUUAGCCGGGCGACGGUUGUCCCGGUUUAAGCAUGUAGGCUG
rnacentral:rRNA from 1 species